rnacentral:lncRNA from 1 species
CUGGCAAUGGCUGCCUCUGCCUCCGCGCCAGCGAGCCAUGAUGCCUUGAGGUACAAUGUUAUCCACCACCGGGACCCCGACACUCCAGAAGAUGUGGAAAUUUCGCCGACCGGCUGGGGCUAUAAUGAAUAAUAUCAUGACAAUUUUUUUAAAUUGUAAA